rnacentral:rRNA from 1 species
GAUGAACGCUGGCGGCGUGCUUAACACAUGCAAGUCGAACGAGAAGUGAAGACGGAAACCUUCGGGCGGAAGGCUUUAUUUCGAGUGGCGGACGGGUGAGUAACGCGUGGGUAACCUGCCUCAUACAGGGGGAUAACAGUUGGAAACGACUGUUAAUACCGCAUAAGACCACAGCACCGCAUGGUGCGGGGGUAAAAACUCCGGUGGUAUGAGAUGGACCCGCGUUCGAUUAGCCAGUUGGCGGGGUAACGGCCCACCAAAGCGACGAUCGAUAGCCGAUCUGAGAGGAUGACCGGCCACAUUGGGACUGAGACACGGCCCAAACUCCUACGGGAGGCUGCAGUGGGGAAUAUUGCACAAUGGGGGAAACCCUGAUGCAGCGACGCCGCGUGAGUGAAGAAGUAUUUCGGUAUGUAAAGCUCUAUCAGCAGGGAAGAAAAUGACGGUACCUGAGUAAGAAGCCCCGGCUAACUACGUG